rnacentral:lncRNA from 1 species
CACCGUGGUCCCGGGGUCACCGUGGGUCCGGGCCGUGUAGAGCAGAGGGCGUUCAGGCCAUUCUAACAGGAUGCCCGGAAUGCCUGCGGGAGUGAGAGAGGGAGGCGCCGGGCGUCUCCUCGCGAGCUCGGCCUGCGCUUUGUAAACUUUCCCCUGAGCCGUUUGUCCUGUAUUAGGAAGAAUGGAAGCCUAGGGCUCUUAGGCGUGCGGGACAGUUCGGAGAGUGACACUGAAGAGUUCCAGAAGGGAAGGGGGAGGGGGAAGGGGAGAGAAGAGAAGAGAAGAGAAGAGAAGAAAAGAGAGGAGAAAAGAGAGAAGAGAAGAAGAGAAGAGAAGAGAAGAGAAGAGAAGAGAAGAGAAGAGAAGAGAAGAGAAGAGAAGAGAAAGAAGAGAAGAGAAAGAAGGAAGGUGGGCCAAACAGGCCCUUUUAUAGCAAGCCAGACCUACCUGGCUGUUGCUAGGUAACUGUUGGGCGGAGCGUAGAAGGAAUACCUGCAGAUAGCCCUGGCCCCGCCCAGUCUGCGGGCCCUGUUCAGCCUUUCUCCCUGUCUCCCUGUGCUCUGCACUCUUCCAGAUGGCUUUGGCUGUUCUCUCUCUCCUAUCGACAAUUAGAAAUAAGAUAAAGACUUUCC